UGCUCCUUGCGCCGCUGUACGCUGUGCUCAAACCCUGUUUUUCUUCUAUUCCCCUCACCAAAGCCUUCCUCUGGUCUUCCCAACAGAGGCUACUGCCGUCGCUGCUGCUGGUGGCUACCGCCGCCGUGAGCCGUGAGGUUGCUGCUGUCCCCGACGCCUCUCCUCUCCGUGGUCGUUGCCGGGCAGUGCUGGUGCUGGGCGUCGUUGUUGCUAGCGGUAAACCCUGAGGACGACAUGCAUGGGAGUCUUGGGAGUAGCAUCACCACCCUGUUCACUACACGAAACUCACAUAUAUUGUACUUUAGGACCAUGUUUUGAGAACCUAGUAUAGUUUAUACUUUGCUAAGCUUGGUGGUUUGUCCUGAAGUUUGGAAGUUGCCCUUUU